GACGAACGCUGGCGGCGUGCCUAAUACAUGCAAGUCGAACGCAGUGGGGGCGGGUGAUUAACACGUGGGUAACCUCCCAUCAGAGGGGAUAACACUUGGCAACAGGUGCUAAACCGAUACUGAUGGAUGGACCCGCGGUGCAUUAGCUAGUUGGUGAGGUAACGGCUCACCAAGUCGACGAUGCAUAGCCGACCUGAGAGGGUGACCGGCCACACUGGGACUGAGACACGGCCCAGACUCCUACGGGAGGCAGCAGUAGGGAAUAUUGGGCAAUGGACGAAAGUCUGACCGAGCAAUGCCGCGUGAGUGAAGAAGGUUUUCGGAUCGUAAAACUCUGUUGUUAGAGAAGCGGUAUCUAACCAGAAAGCCACGGCUAACUACGUGCCAGCAGCCGCGGUAAUAC
rnacentral:rRNA from 1 species